UUCAUGAAUAGUAUAGAAUAAAUUAUAGUAGUCUGGAGCCAGGCCUAAAUCGCCUUUCAGUAAAACUCUGGUAUUUCCAUGACAAACUAUAAUAUAUUAGGCCAAAAAUUCUUUGUUUUCGGUAACAAAAUUGCUAAAAAAGUAGGGUAUGUAGGUCGGAUAUAUAUACAAAUAAGGGGUUAUGCCUUUAAACAUCAGUAAGGUGAUUUUUAAAACCACUGACCAUGUUCAAUGCAUAAAAUGUGCAGUUUUGCUUUUUUUUGUCAAAAAGUUAAAAAAAAAUUUCUAAGCCCUUAAAAACAUUUAGGAUCGGGCCAAAGAUUUAGGGUAGAUCGGGAUACCGGAAGCAAACAUUAUUUACGCUUUACUAAUUUAAAGUGGCUGUUUGGAAAGGAAUAUGCAAAUGGAAUAGAUAGAUCGCUAACAAUUUUUAAUAGGCCUAUAUUUUUUUUUCGCGUGGCAGCGGCGACGAACCUUUUAUGAAAUAGUGUACUAUCGAAAUUUGUUUUAAAAAUGAUAGUCAUAAAUAAAUAUUCCAACUAGAUCUAGAAUUUUUUUUUCAACUAGAAUUGAAAAAAUGCAAUGUGUGCUCGCUUUCUGGUUCAGUCCAGUCGGAACUGGUUCUUUCCAGUUAUUAGUUAAUUUGAUUGGAUACCGUUCUUUGCGCAUGCGUACAGAUUAUGCGGGACUUUCAAUUUGGAAAAAUAAAUAAAUAAUAACACGAAAAGUCGAAGAAAACGGAGAGUAAAAGCAAUGUUUACAUAAGUAUCUGGAGUUCAGUGUGUUGAAUGUUCAGAACUAUGACUGACUUAGAUAAAUAUCAGGAUGUUAUUGAGGAAGACUUUUCUAGUUUGCUGCCAUUUGUCAUCGAGGAAGAUUUCUCUUGUUCAGUUGCUUCAGAUGUUGUUGGUCAGGGUGCACUUACAUCAGUUGAGAAUUUACCUAUAAGAAAAAGGAAACGGACAAAAAAUGGUAAG
rnacentral:lncRNA from 1 species